CAGCAGCCGCGGGAAUACGUAGGGUGCAAGCGUUGAUCGGAAUUACUGGGCGUAAAGGACGCGUAGGCGGAUUAUCAAGUCUCUUGUGAAAUCUAACGGCUUAACCGUUAAACUGCUUGGGAAACUGAUAAUCUAGAGUAAGGGAGAGGCAGAUGGAAUUCUUGGUGUAGGGGUAAAAUCCGUAGAUAUCAAGAAGAAUACCUAUUGCGAAGGCGAUCUGCUGGAACUUAACUGACGCUAAUGCGUGAAAGCGUGGGGAGCAAACAGGAUUAGAUACCCCAGUAGUCCCUGUCUCUUAUAC
rnacentral:rRNA from 1 species